AGUACAGUAGCAGUGUGUUGGGCAGUACAGUAGCAGUGUGUUUUGAGUGUUUGGGCUGGGCAGUAGCAGUGUGUUGGGCUGGGCAGUAGCAGUGUUGGGCUGGGCAGUAGCAGUGUGUUGGGCUGGGCAGUAGCAGUGUGUUGGGCUGGGCAGUACAGUAGCAGUGUGUUGGGCUGGGCAGUACAGUAGCAGUGUGUUGGGCUGGGCAGUACAGUAGCAGUGUGUUGGGCUGGGCAGUACAGUAGCAGUGUGUUGGGCUGGGCAGUACAGUAGCAGUGUGUUGGGCUGGGCAGUAGCAUAGCAGUGUGUUGGGCUGGGCUGUACAGUAGCAGUGUGUUGGGCAGUACAGUAGCAGUGUGUUGGGCUGGGCAGUACAGCAGUGUUGUGUUGGGCAGUACAGUAGCAGUGUGUUGGGCUGGGCAGUAGCAGUGUGUUGGGCUGGGCAGUACAGUAGCAGUGUGUUGGGCUGGGCAGUAGCAGUGUGUUGGGCUGGGCUGUACAGUAGCAGUGUGUUGGGCUGGGCAGUAGCAGUGUGUUGGGCUGGGCUGUACAGUAGCAGUGUGUUGGGCUGGGCUGGGCAGUAGCAGUGUGUUGGGCUGGGCUGUACAGUAGCAGUGUGUUGGGCUGGGCAGUACAGUAGCAGUGUGUUGGGCUGGGCUGUACAGUAGCAGUGUUGGGCUGGGCUGGGCAGUAGCAGUGUGUUGGGCUGGGCAGGCAGUAGCAGUGUGUUGGGCUGGGCUGUACAGUAGCAGUGUGUUGGGCUGGGCAGUAGCAUAGCAGUGUGUUGGGCUGGGCAGUAGCAGUGUGUUGGGCUGGGCUGGGCAGUAGCAGUGUGUUGGGCUGGGCUGGGCAGUAGCAGUGUGUUGGGCUGGGCAGUACAGUAGCAGUGUGUUGGGCUGGGCUGUAGCAGUGUGUUGGGCUGGGCAGUACAGUAGCAGUGUGUUGGGCUGGGCAGUACAGUAGCAGGAACUGGCUGUACUGGCUGAGCAGUGGUGACAUUCUGGGUGUUGAUCACCUACUGAGUAGUGAUCACGUCAGCCUGGGUAACCAUGACAUCAUUCUGGGUAACCAGGACAUCAUUCUGGGUAACCAGGACAUCAUUCUGGGUAACCAUGACAUCAUUCCGGGCCGGCGAUGACAUCAACACUUGUCUCCCAGUUUGAGAAAGCGCUGUGAUUUUU
ensembl:lncRNA